AUUGAACGCUGGCGGCAGGCCUAACACAUGCAAGUCGAACGAGUGGCGGACGGGUGAGUAAUGUCUGGGAAACUGCCUGCUGGAGGGGGAUAACUACUGGAAACGGUAGCUAAUACCGCAUACUAUCAGAUGUGCCCAGCUGGGAUUAGCUAGUAGGUGGGGUAAUGGCUCACCUAGGCGACGAUCCCUAGCUGGUCUGAGAGGAUGACGAGCCACACGGGAACUGAGACACGGUCCAGCCUCCUACGGGAGGAGGCAGUGGGGAGUAUUGCACAAUGGGCGAAAGCCUGAUGCAGCCAUGCGGCGUGUGUGAGGAAGGCCUUCGUGUUGUAAAGCACGUUCAGCGGGGAGGCGUUACUCGAAGAAGAAGCACCGGCUAACUCCGUGCCAGCAGCCGCGGUAAUUC
rnacentral:rRNA from 1 species